GCCAGGCAUGGUGGUGCAUGCCUGUAGUCCCAGCUACUUGGGAGGCUGAGGCAGGAGAAUUGCUUGAACCUGGGAGAUGGACGUUGCAGUGAGCUGAGAUCACACAACAGCACUCCAGCCUGGGUGACAGAGUGAGAUCCUGUUUCAA
rnacentral:SRP_RNA from 1 species